UACGUAGGCAGCAAGCGUUGUUCGGAGUUACUGGGCGUAAAGAGUGUGUAGGCGGUUCUCUAAGUUCGGUGUGAAAUCUCCCGGCUCACUGGGAGGGUGGCGCCGGCGAAAACUUGGAGGGGCUUUAGAGUAUGGGGAGAGGAAAGCGGAAUUCCUGGUGUAGCGGUGAAAUGCGUAGAUAUCGGAAGGAACGCCGGUGGCGAAAGCGCAUCACUGGACCUCUUCUGACGCUGAGGCGCGAAAGCCAGGGGAGCAAACAGGG
rnacentral:rRNA from 1 species